rnacentral:rRNA from 1 species
UACAGAGGUCUCAAGCGUUGUUCGGAUUCAUUGGGCGUAAAGGGUGCGUAGGUGGCGCGCUAAGUCAGGUGUGAAAUUUCGGAGCUUAACUCCGAAACUGCAUUUGAUACUGGCGUGCUUGAGGACUGGAGAGAGACUGGAAUUCACGGUGUAGCAGUGAAAUGCGUAGAGAUCGUGAGGAAGACCAGUGGCGAAGGCGGGUCUCUGGACAGUUCCUGACGCUG